CUCGUAGGUGGCCAACUAGGUCAACCGUGAAAUCCCUCGGCUUAACCGGGGAACUGCGUUUGAUACUGGAUGGCUUGAGUUUGGGAGAGGGAUGCGGAAUUCCAGGUGUAGCGGUGAAAUGCGUAGAUAUCUGGAGGAACACCGGUGGCGAAGGCGGCAUCCUGGACCAAUACUGACGCUGAGGAGCGAAAGCUAGGGGAGCAAACG
rnacentral:rRNA from 1 species